UAAUACGGAGGGUCCAAGCGUUAUCCGGAUUUAUUGGGUUUAAAGGGUGUGUAGGCGGAAAUAUAAGUCAGUGGUGAAAUCCUGCAGCUUAACUGCAGAACUGCCGCUGAAACUGUGUUUCUUGAGUAUAGUUGAAGUGGGCGGAAUGUGUCAUGUAGCGGUGAAAUGCAUAGAUAUGACACAGAACACCGAUUGCGAAGGCAGCUCACUAAACUAUUACCGACGCUGAGGCACGAAAGCGUGGGUAGCGAACAGGAUUAGAUACCCUGGUAGUCCACGCCGUAAACGAUGAUUACUCGAUGUUGGCGAUACACUGUCAGCGUCCAAGCGAAAGUGUUAAGUAAUCCACCUGGGGAGUACGGUCGCAAGAUUG
rnacentral:rRNA from 1 species